rnacentral:rRNA from 1 species
CCCCCCGGGGGGGGUGCUAUACAUGCAGUCGUACGCUUCUUUUUCCACCGGAGCUUGCUCCACCGGAAAAAGAAGAGUGGCGAACGGGUGAGUAACACGUGGGUAACCUGCCCAUCAGAAGGGGAUAACACUUGGAAACAGGUGCUAAUACCGUAUAACAAUCGAAACCGCAUGGUUUUGAUUUGAAAGGCGCUUUCGGGUGUCGCUGAUGGAUGGACCCGCGGUGCAUUAGCUAGUUGGUGAGGUAACGGCUCACCAAGGCCACGAUGCAUAGCCGACCUGAGAGGGUGAUCGGCCACAUUGGGACUGAGACACGGCCCAAACUCCUACGGGAGGCAGCAGUAGGGAAUCUUCGGCAAUGGACGAAAGUCUGACCGAGCAACGCCGCGUGAGUGAAGAAGGUUUUCGGAUCGUAAAACUCUGUUGUUAGAGAAGAACAAGGAUGAGAGUAACUGUUCAUCCCUUGACGGUAUCUAACCAGAAAGCCACGGCUAACUACGUGCCAGCAGCCGCGGUAAUACGUAGGUGGCAAGCGUUGUCCGGAUUUAUUGGGCGUAAAGCGAGCGCAGGCGGUUUCUUAAGUCUGAUGUGAAAGCCCCCGGCUCAACCGGGGAGGGUCAUUGGAAACUGGGAGACUUGAGUGCAGAAGAGGAGAGUGGAAUUCCAUGUGUAGCGGUGAAAUGCGUAGAUAUAUGGAGGAACACCAGUGGCGAAGGCGGCUCUCUGGUCUGUAACUGACGCUGAGGCUCGAAAGCGUGGGGAGCAAACAGGAUUAGAUACCCUGGUAGUCCACGCCGUAAACGAUGAGUGCUAAGUGUUGGAGGGUUUCCGCCCUUCAGUGCUGCAGCUAACGCAUUAAGCACUCCGCCUGGGGAGUACGACCGCAAGGUUGAAACUCAAAGGAAUUGACGGGGCCCGCACAAGCGGUGGAGCAUGUGGUUUAAUUCGAAGCACGCGAGACCUUACCAGUCUUGACAUCCUUUGACACUCUAGAGAUAGAGCUU